GUUAGGAAUCAUUUUAAUACUCGUUACACUGAGUGAUCUAAGUAAAUGAUAUUGAUAAAAAUACAAUACACAAGCAAAUAAAAAUAAAGUGAAAAGGGUAAAAUUGGAUUACCCCUUUGAAGAUGGAACCGUGAAGCACCAAACAUGAAAAGGGGGACCAAAUUGAAAUCCCUAAAAAUCCCUCUCCAUUGCUUCUUCAGCGGCGAUUGGAGGAUCUCAACGAUGAGGAGAAGUGGCCACCGGUUCCCCUGUCUUGGGCCGUGACCGAGCGGCGUGAUUUAGCUACGAUAGGCAUUCCGAGACCCCAAGAGAAGCGACGAGCAGCAUUGGUGGCGUCGGUGGAACAAAAUUCAACUUGGUGAAAGCAUUUGACAUUGAAUCGGUCCGAUUUGGGGUUCUUUCGAAGUUCUUGAAACCAACGAGCUUAAAGUCGUUGGUAACUGCUUCCCCGGUGUUAUCAUUGGCCAUGGAUUCGGUUAUUGUGGUGGAGUUGGUGGCGGUAGCACUAUAGAUCCUCCAUAAAGCCCUGGCUUAACAGUACGUAGAGGAGCUGCUCUUGGAGACAUCAUUGCUACCCUUAGGGUCAUUAAUUAUUGGUCCUCUUGCACAUCACACCUUCCUUUAAAAGUGGCCCCAUGAAACCUUAUGCUCUAAGGACCUAUUCCACAAGCCUCUUGGUGAGGUCCUCACAUUGGUUCUACAUCCCAUGGACCUUGAAUUGUGUGAGAGAGAUUGUUGAUAGGCUUUUCUAG